rnacentral:rRNA from 1 species
AACGAACGCUGGCGGCAGGCUUAACACAUGCAAGUCGAACGCCCCGCAAGGGGAGUGGCAGACGGGUGAGUAACGCGUGGGAAUCUACCCAGAUCUACGGAACAACAGUUGGAAAAGACUGCUAAUACCGUAUACGCCCAACGGGGGAAAGAUUUAUCGGAUUUGGAUGAGCCCGCGUAAGAUUAGCUAGUUGGUGGGGUAAUGGCCUACCAAGGCGACGAUCUUUAGCUUGUCUGAGAGGAUGAUCAGCCACACUGGGACUGAGACACGGCCCAGACUCCUACGGGAGGCAGCAGUGGGGAAUAUUGGACAAUGGGCGCAAGCCUGAUCCAGCCAUGCCGCGUGAGUGAUGAAGGCCUUAGGGUUGUAAAGCUCUUUCAGUAGGGAAGAUAAUGACGGUACCUACAGAAGAAGCCCCGGCUAACUUCGUGCCAGCCGCCGCGGUAAGAC